UACGUAGGUGGCAAGCGUUGUCCGGAUUUAUUGGGUUUAAAGGGUGCGUAGGCGGCAUUUUAAGUCAGUGGUGAAAUACUUCAGCUUAACUGGAGAGGUGCCAUUGAUACUGGGAUGCUUGAGUACUGAUGAGGUAGGCGGAAUGGACGGUGUAGCGGUGAAAUGCUUAGAUAUCGUCCAGAACACCGAUAGCGAAGGCAGCUUACUAAGGAGUAACUGACGCUGAGACGCGAAAGCGUGGGGAGCAAACAGG
rnacentral:rRNA from 1 species